GAUGAACGCUGGCGGCGUGCUUAACACAUGCAAGUCGAACGGGAAAUAUUUCAUUGAGACUUCGGUGGAUUUGAUUUAUUUCUAGUGGCGGACGGGUGAGUAACGCGUGGGUAACCUGCCUUAUACAGGGGGAUAACAGUCAGAAAUGGCUGCUAAUACCGCAUAAGCGCACAGAGCUGCAUGGCUCAGUGUGAAAAACUCCGGUGGUAUAAGAUGGACCCGCGUUGGAUUAGCUAGUUGGUGGGGUAACGGCCCACCAAGGCGACGAUCCAUCGCCGGCAUGAGAGGGUGGACGGCCACAUUGGGACGGAGACACGGCCCAGACUCCUACGGGAGGCAGCAGUGGGGAAUAUUGCACAAUGGGGGAAACCCUGAUGCAGCGACGACGCGUGAAGGAAGAAGUAUCUGAGGAUGUAAACUUCUAUCAGCAGGGAAGAUAGUGACGGUACCUGACGAAGAAGCCCCGGCUAACUACGUG
rnacentral:rRNA from 1 species